rnacentral:tRNA from 1 species
AGUCUUAUAUUCAUUAUUAAUGAUAUAAAAUUGCAAAUUUUAAGGAGUAUAUAUUAAAAAUUACUAAGGCUU